CAAACUUUUUCAAUUGCAUCUCUCCCUUGCACCCCCUCCAGGGAGCAGGAGGUGAGUGGGGCAGGACAGGAGAGAGGGAGCCAUGCUCUGGAGGUGGGGAGUGAGUGGGGCAGGACAGGGGAGGGGGAGCCAUGCUCUGGAGGUGGUGAGUGAGUGGGGCAGGACAGGGGAGGGGGAGCCAUGCUCUGGAGGUGGGGAGUGAGUGGGGGAGGACAGGGGAGGGGGAGCCAUGCUCUGGAGGUGGGGAGUGAGUGGGGGAGGACAGGGGAGGGGGAGCCAUGCUCUGGAGGUGGGGAGUGAGUGGGGGAGGACAGAGGAGGGGGAGCCAUGCUCUGGAGGUGGGGAGUGAGUGGGGGAGGACAGGGGAGGGGGAGCCAUGCUCUGGAGGUGGGGAGUGAGUGGGGCAGGACAAGGGAGGGGGAGCCAUGCUCUGGAGGUGGGGAGUGAGUGGGGCAGGACAGGGGAGGGGGAGCCAUGCUCUGGAGGUGGGGAGUGAGUGGGGGAGGACAGGGGAGGGGGAGCCAUGCUCUGGAGGUGGGGAGUGAGUGGGGGAGGACAGGGGAGGGGGAGCCAUGCUCUGGAGGUGGGGAGUGAGUGGGGCAGGACAAGGGAGGGGGAGCCAUGCUCUGGAGGUGGGGAGUGAGUGGGGCAGGACAGGGGAGGGGGAGCCAUGCUCUGGAGGUGGGGAGUGAGUGGGGGAGGACAGGGGAGGGGGAGCCAUGCUCUGGAGGUGGGGAGUGAGCGGGGGAGGGCGGGGGAGGGGGAGCCAUGCUCUGGAGGUGGGGAGUGAGUGGGGGAGGACAGGGGAGGGGGAGCCAUGCUCUGGAGAUGGGGAGUGAGCGGGGGAGGACAGGGGAGGGGGAGCCAUGCUCUGGAGGUGGGGAGUGAGUGGGGGAGGACAAGGGAGGGGAAGCCAC